rnacentral:rRNA from 1 species
UACGGAGGGGGCUAGCGUUGUUCGGAAUUACUGGGCGUAAAGCGCGCGUAGGCGGACCUGCAAGUCGGGGGUGAAAGCCCGAGGCUCAACCUCGGAACUGCCUUCGAUACUGCGGGUCUCGAGUCCGGGAGAGGUGAGUGGAAUUCCUAGUGUAGAGGUGAAAUUCGUAGAUAUUAGGAAGAACACCGGUGGCGAAGGCGGCAUCCUGGACCAAUACUGACGCUGAGGAGCGAAAGCCAGGGGAGCAAACGGG